GUUGUAAUGUGAGGUGGCCCUAUAUAAGGUCUGGCGGUGGUAGACCGCAGGGCUUAUUUUUGAGUCCUGCGGUCUGUUUCUAAUCUAAUACAGGAAAAGAGAGAGCUUGGAAGCGGAGAUAGGAGGAAGAACAGGUUAGCUGGUGGAUGCUUACUUAGCUUAGAGGGAGAUGAAGAGGGAGUAGUGGAAGCCCACCAAGUAAUAUGAGAGACACAAGAGAAAAUGUGCUGCCAUUAUAGACAAAUUGCAAACUGGGGCUGAAAGGAAGAGUGUAGAAGUGAACUCCCUAGUAUGGGCAAGAAAUGAGACUUCCUUGCAAGGUAUGUGUAAAAAACUCAAUAUAAAGUGGGUCAGUCCAUACCAUGUAGUGAAAGUGUUGAGGAACAGUGUCCAUACAAACUUGAGAAAGUAAAACCAUAUUGGGGGAGUGGUGAGUGGAAGAUGGAAUCCCCCUGACAAAUUAGAGUGCCAGAGACUCAGAAAGAGGAAGCACCUGCCAGAAUAAUAAGAUCUCCAAGGAAAUAUGUUCUCGUAGAAGAGUGCUAUGUUAGUUGUAAGUUGUAAGAGUAGGUGGUGGUGGAUGUUAGGUUAGGAUGAUUCUCAGCAGACACCAUCUCUGAAAGAGAGAGUACAAAAGGAAGAAAAAGAUAUGAUCAUACUAUAUUUAUAACAAAAAUGGUCCUCCUAUUGAGGAAUGUUCAGAGACCAUUUACUGAGGAUAGAGCUAAGUGCCAAACCACACAUCUCCCCAGGAGUGAGUCUUCAGGACAACGGAACCAUUAGGCAACCCUGAAGGAUUACCAACUGGGUAACUGUAUUCUUUUUGUUUUGGGCAAUCGAUCAUUACUUAUUUUUGUGCAUUAGAAAGUCUGGAUUUAUUCAUCAUUAUAUUUUUAGGGAUCCAACAGAGCCAUAUGUCCACUCUGAGAGAGAUGGUUCUCUCUUGAUUGAGAGGGCCACUCUAUCUGUACUAAAAAUAAAAAAAGGGAUGAGAGAUAGGUCACUGGAUCUUGGGAGAUGUGUUUCAACUGAUCACAAGACCUCAGUUGUUAAGGUCUAAUAUGAAGAAUGUGCAAGAGAGAAAAGAGAAACUGAGAAGAGUAUGAGAGAAGGUAGAUCACUAAACACCAUACCAGACUGAAAUUUUUUUAUAUGUAAGCUAUAUGAUAACUUUGAUUUGGUUGACAUUGUUAUUUUUUACAUUUUUAUAUGUUUCAUAUCGAUAUCUCUAGGUUACGGCAUAUCUUGUGAAAGUAAUUUUUUUAAACCCCAAUGGUGUAGCCAUGUCAUGAGACAAAAAAUAAAGAAAAUUAAAUUAAAGAGAGGGGAAACAGAAGAUAACAUCAUUCAGUAAUGAUCACAUAAAAUAAUUUUGACAAUGUCCAAAAGGAACAAUAAUGUCCCUAAGUAUUUUUUUUCUGGGGGGAAGGGAGAUUUCAAAAUGUAAUUUUGUAUAUAUUUAAGAGAUCAGUAAGAACUUAGAAAAAGGAUACUAAAUGAAAUUCUAAUCUAGAAAUUGAGAAAAUAUUUAUAUAUUUGAAUUGAGAAUUUGACUUGGUGCAGAAGAAUACAUCAUCCCUACUGAUGCCUGUAAUAUGUGAGAACCAGAAAACCAGUGUUCCCAGCUUUUGUUAAACAAAUCAAAUAAAAAAAAUCCCUUUCACAAGAUGCUAUAGAUUAAGUAGAAACUUGUAGGAAAUGACAACUUUAUGUAGUUAUGGAGAAAUUCUGGCAGUAUGUGGGGCCAUUAACUAAGAUGUUCAAGAACAAUCUUGAGAGCAGAGAAAUGGUAUAAACUUUUAGGGACACUGAAAAAUAUUUAUUAUUAAUCAUGGCAGAGGAACUAUAUUGUAAUGUGUAGCAGUCCUAUAGCAGUAACACAUGGUCAUGGAAACAUGAGUAGUGGGGGAGAGGACACUAAGUUGACUCCACUCUGCCACUUGCCACCAUAUGUACAAGUUGAAUUCUUUUUGUUUUGUAUAUGGUACUAUUCUGUCGUGUAGCCAUGAUGAUCAAGAAUGUCAGUGUGUGCAGAGGGUACCAGGGAAAGACAGUAAUACUAGGUUGCUGUAUAUUAUAUAAUAACUGGUGACACGGAAAGUGCCAGCCCACUAGCAUCCACUUUGACGCAGAGAUGGAUGCUGACUGCUGAGGAGUGCAUGGACAAUGCAAGAGACAAUGGCAAGAUGGAUGACUGAGGACGCUCGGUUCCCACCUAAAGUGUCAGAAAGUGGCAAAAGUGCAUGGCAGUGUCGGAACUGGGACAUGCUAGUAGUUAUUAUUACUAGUACUACAACAAUUAUCAUCACCACUACUGUGACAGGAAGUGUGCAGCACUAUAUUGCAUAGAAAAAGCCAUGUGCAUGAAAAAGAUCAGAACAAAAGCACUGGCAUUCUGGGUCCUGACAACUUCCAUAUUCUGACACAUUACUGACCAUACAUUUAAAUGCUAUUUCUGUGAUGUUCAUGAUAAUAGAUGCCUCCUCUCUUCCACCCUCAACCCUAUCCCCCCCAUUCAGUUGUCCCAUAUGUUGUGAGCUUUAUAUAGUAUUUCACUUUCACAUGUGACCCCACAAUAUCAUGAUUCACAGUGAGGUUUGCUAGCCAUCAGUACCUUCAUCUGUGAGUGUGCUGCUUAUAUAUUGCAAGUUUACCAGUAAGCCUAUCUAUUAACUGCAUUAUAUUUUUUUAUAUAGAUAGCCUUGUUUGCUCUCAUAUGAACAUUUCUAAAUGGAUUCUAGCAGGAACCUUAGUUUGUAAUGAUUGCCUGGUAGAGGAAUCACUCCAUGGACAACAGACUGUCUGGUGUGUUUGCUUGACCUGCAUCAUAAAGUUUGUCUGUAGACAGAGGCACUGUCUCUGUCACCAAUGACAUUUCUUGCUUCUGUCUGCAGAUAGUGUAUGCUUGUUUGGACAGGCCUUUACUGAUUCUGGUUGGAUCACUUCUCUGAGCUACUUGAAGGGUGGAGACCAAAGUAAGAGUUAGAUAGAAUAUUUAUUUACAAGAUUGACUCCCUGGAUUAUAUAUAUUUUAACUACUACCAAAUAACAAUAUCAUAACAAUACUGUCUUAGUCAAAAUUAUGCAAAUAGUUUCACAUCCACUAACCUUUUUUCAUCAUUGUAAUUUCGUAUUCAGAUGUUUGAUUAUUCCAAUUAAAACAAUACAACUGAUAAAUUAUGGUAAAAAAGUAAAUUACAUGCAUUACUUGAAUGAUACUUUUCAAAAUCCAUCCACUUCACCUGCUUUCCUAAAAUCAGAAUUAGCAUAAAUUUUUCCAUUCUGACGUGCAAUGCCACAGAUCACUGAUCCACCGACGCUGAACUUCUUCACCUCAUGGCCAAGUUCCUUCAGACCCUCAGUAAUUUUCUGAAAGAAAUACAUUCUGCAGUCUUGUUUGUUUAGUGCAUGUAGAGACUUUCAAAGCUGCUAUAAAGAUAUAUUCCAAUUUUCUACUAAAAGAAGAAAAAUUGUUACUUUUGCUCUCUCUCUCUCUCUCUCUCUCUCUCUCUCUCUCUCUCUCUCUCUCUCUCUCUCUCUCUCUCUCUCUCUCUCUCUCUCUCUC